rnacentral:tRNA from 4 species
GGGGGUGUAGCUCAAUUGGGAGAGCGCCUGCUUUGCAAGCAGGAGGUCAUCGGUUCGAUCCCGUUCACCUCCACCA